UAUUCAUCAUUGAAUAUGACCAAAGCAGAAGCUCUUCCCCAUGAACCAGUCCAUCUCCAUGUACAGAGCACAGCUCCUUGUCUGAGUGACCACGACCUGUCCAAACUGGUCAGCAUAUCUCCUUUAUUCAAGACCCUGCAGGAAAUCCAACAGUCUUUACAGGACCUUUCCACGGCUGAGUUGAAUCAGCAUCUCCGCAGCGGUACAGAAAGUCUCAAUACAAGACACUCUAAGGAGCAGUUAAACCCAUAAUCAGUGUCACCAAGUAUGGUAAAUGUGAAGCCUAAAAUAGACAAUUUUCUAUCUGUUUUAGCAGCUGUAGAGCAUUGUGUGCAGGAGAGCAGUGGUGGGCAACUAAUCCCGACUGCGCUGGACAACCUCUCACCUCUACACUCGGCUGUUUUCCUCUUUGGUUGCCAGGUGAUGCAGUUGCUUUCAAACUGCCCCCUGUUCCCCUCUGUGCUCUUGCUGCUGGCCAAGUCACUCCCUGUGUCUUCAUCCUCCUCUAAUGAGGCUCUGCUGGCACACUGUUCAAGGGACUUUUAUUUUGACGCCACCAAUCAAAUCCUUUAUCUGUCGGAGGCAAAGCUUCACCAUGUGGGACAUUUCAUCGCUACUAUUCUGCAAUCCAUGGCACACAUAGCAUCAGGAUCUAAAUCCCAGAGCUUUAUGCAAGCCCUCCAUGAGGCUAUUUCAGCUUUAAGCCUUCAGCUGUUCAACUUUUCUUUCAAAUGGAACACAGCAGAGCCAAAAUUAGAUGCCUCAGAGGGGCAGCAUGGUGCAUUAGUUGAGGAAUUUCUCAAUAUUCGAGUUCCCAAUGAAGCGCAAUUCACUGAGCACCUAUUGGCUAGCAGACUUGAGCGAUACAAAUAUUUCAAAUUGGAGCAGCUCAUCACAGACCUCAAACAGCGUUCAUCCGGGGACAGAAACACAGGUUUACCACCAAAAGGGACGCCAAUGCAGAUGUCCUGUGUAGAGGAAGAGAUCGACCGCAUGAAUGAGUCUUUCUUGCACCUGAGCUUGCAGCUACAGGAGAGAGCUCAAAUGAGCACACGGCUGAAAGAGAGAGAGAACAGUGCUGGCAACCAUUCUGUGAGGGCGACACCAACAAGCAUGCCCAGCCUCAGUCGUAAUGGAACAAUCCUGCUGGAACUGAAGAGACGCCAUGUAUCACAGUGCCUCAAUGAGCUCCAGAUCACAUUAGGCCAGAUGAGACGGUGCCAGCAGCCUGACAGCAAGUCAAGAGACGGGACGAGAGGCCGUACUCAAACAGACGGCAGCGCCACUCAGCAGGAGCAAAGGAAGCAUUAUCCUGGCAUAGAUGGCGGCAGUCUUGCUGUCGGCCAGCGGCAGGACAGUAUUCUAGCUAGCCAGAGUCACAGCCAACAAACCAUAGAGAGCUUCGGUAACCAUAAACUGGAGAGUCAUAUUUCUGGGCAGCAGACGAGUGGCACUGUCCAGAGCAACGACCCUGAUGCUUUUCCAGACUGCCAGAUGCUUGAGAGCCAAGAUCGGCUGAAUCUCAAUGUCGCAGGAGAGCAGGAGCUAAACAGUCAGAUCACAAUAGAAAAUACAAUUGGACACACAGAUAUUGAUGACAUGUGGGGGCCUCCUGAUCAGAAACUUGAUCUGAAUGUCGAUAAAUGCUGAGAAAUGUGUUGUUUGUGUGGGUUUCUCUCACCAUUGUAUGUAGGUCUCCUUCCUCUAUUUCACAAUUAUAGUUUUACUACAAAGCCUUCCACAAACUUUCUUUUAAAUGUCCUUUAAGUGUCCCGUAAGAAAUCUGAUGAAGCUGCUUUCUUUUAAAAUAGAAUAUGAAACAGUCUCAAUUCAACAAUGAUACCUCUGUAGGUCAUACUAUCAGCGAGAACAUUGACUGUUUCUAUAUAGGUAUCAAAGUUAUUUUUAAUGACUAUCACAGGCUCUGAUUCAUUUGGGUUGGAUACGUUAUACCUGGUCGCCCAUGAGUCCUUCAAACAGCUGUAUUAAAAAUGUUUUUAUUUCCUUCACUCACUUUCAAACCAGUGCGAAUGCACAAGUUCCUUGUGGCACCUUUGCUUCUAUCAUUAUUAAUGUUUUAUUGUAUUGUUUUCAAUCACUUUUGUUUGUUUGUUUGUUGGUUUUAUGCUCAAUUAUCAUUGUCUUAUAUGAAGUGUUUAUAUCAAUUUGAUCAGGUUUAUUUAAAGGGUGACUCCUCCAAUUUUACAUAUUAAAUGGUGUUUCCAGAUCUUGGGGAGUAUUAAAUAAAAGUUGUGAUAAAAGUUAAAUAAAAGGCUUCAUACUACUUUUUUCACAUAUGCAGUAGUACUGCCAAAUACCUUUAAACACACCUUUAUUGUGACUGUAUCCUUUAAGCACUUUGAACUGCAUCUUUAUAUGAACAGUGCAAUACAAAGUCAUUUUUUAUUAUUUUGUCCUUUUCCAUGCUCAGCCUAGAAUAGCUUGGUAAUCAAUGCACUGUAUUAUCUUCUUUCUUUGUUUGUCGAGGAAUGAUCUGAGUGACCUCCGUCUUAAUUCGCACCAGCUUAUAAACAACUCGGCUGUGUUCUUCUUUAAUUAUCCGUGAUCCCUGGCUAGAAAUAAUGUCUGGCUACGAGCAACUGUGUGACACAGUCCGUCCUCUUGUCCAAAUAGUUUCUUUUUCAGGAGCUUAUACUGGCCUUUAAGACAGGCUCUGUUCAUUACCAUAUUCUAAUUGAGACAAUAAACUUCAGCUGAGUGAACACAAGGUGACACUCCUGCUUAUGCAGCGACUCCUGCUCACAACAAACUCUCCCCUGUGUAGAGGUCCUCAUGAAUAUUAUAUUAAACUACAAAAACUGUCUCUUUUUCUCUGUUUUGCAUGAGGACCUCUAACAUUCCUUCUCCAAGCCCUUUUUUCAGUGUGGUGAGGUUUCUCUAUAACCAGAGGGUCAGCCAAGUGGAAGCAAAAGUAGCAACUGAAUUUGAAGUCCUGUUUGAUCUGCUGCAGAAGAGAAGUCUAUGCUGCUUGACUGAUGCAAGGGGUUCUGGGUCUUAUAAUAGAAACUGAGUAUUCCUACAGGGGGCUGUGAGCCAAAUCAGAAGGUCAGAUGGAACAAGUCUUCUCUUACUAUCAGUGUUAGCUUCAAGCUCUGUGCCAAGUCCCUUGGGUUGAAUCUGGCAGUGCCCUGCGGCUGUGUGUGUGUGACUGUGUGCUUAUAUGGGGUGUGGUUCAGUGGCUGCCUAAGAUUAUGUUCCUUUAUCAAUUAGAUUAGCUGUAAUGUGCCACUGAUCUGGCCUGUGUGUCUGCCUCGCAGUGGGACAAGGCAUCAUAUAACUCCAUGAUGUGCUGCUCUGGAGUGAUGUGCGUGUGAAGUCACUCUGUGGUGAUCUGCAGUGCUGCAACAUUAUGCUUGCUCUAGUUGUUUAGAUCAACAUGGAGGUUAUUUUUAGGAAGACUGCUCUUUGUGUGAUGUUUGCUUAAGUAUAUGCACAUCCUGUAUAUUCAUAUGUAUGAGGACUUCAGAUAAAAGCUAUUCUUUGAAAUGAAUAAAAAACACAGUUUGAUUGAAAUGCCUUUGAAUGCCCCUUAAAAGAAUAAAACAUAAAGAAUUCAAGUACUAUUAUUUGAACAUGGG
ensembl:lncRNA